UUUAUGUCUGAGUGAUUACAUAGCGACCACAUUUUUCUUGAUAUUUGGAGUUUUACAUCAAAUAUUAAUCUGUUAUUUUUAGUGAUCAUUUCAAUAUGUCCUCCCUAAUGAUUCGCACAGACGUGACUGCAGUAAAGUUGCACAAAAAUUACAUUAUCGCCGGUAUUGGAAGUGACUUGAAUGUUUUUAACAAGAAUUCCAAUAGUUUAUUACAAAGAUUUCGCUGUUUAAAUGGUCAAAAAAUAUAUGGAAUUAUACCGCUUUUGCAAUCGAACAAACUUUUAGUUUACGGGGGUAAACAGUUUGUUGUGGUAUUAGAACAUGGUGAAUUUGUGAGGUUGUUGGAUCCUGUAGUCUGUGACGAUUGGCUACACUCUGGUAUAUGGAUCAAUGAUAAUGAAAUAGCACUGUUGACAGCACACAAUGUUGUACAGAUCUGGGAUACACAACUUGCAAUAUUAAAAUCAAAACAAAUAAGCACAGACAAUUCAAUUCUCUACAGUGGAACAUUACAUAAAUUGCAAGAUGAUAUCUUAGUGUUUGCAGGAACUGUAUUUUCAGAAGUUAUUAUACACAGCUGUAAGACUAAAAUGCCUUUGCAUCACUUAAAAGGCCAUAGAGGAGUAAUAUUCUCCAUAUCCUGUGAUUUACAAAAUGGUAUUAUAGUUACAACAUCUGACGAUAGAUCUGUCUGUAUAUGGGGCAUAGACAACAAAAAGUCUUUGGCUAACAUUGCACAUGAUACCAUAGAGUUCUGGCGGCAAGCUGAAAUUGUGCGUGUCCAUGAAAUAUAUGGUCACACAGCUAGAGUUAUGAGAAGUUGUAUUAUUAAUGAUUUGGUAAUUUCUGUUGGGGAAGAUUCAGCUAUAUGUUAUUGGAAUAAUGAUGGAAAAUUGUUGAAAAAGGUAGCGACACAUCAAAAUGGUGGUGUUUGGUCAGUAGAUGCUGAUGAUCAUCAUUUAGUAACUGGUGGAGGGGAUGGAAGUGUAAUUCUUCAUCCCUUGACCUCAGCAACAGAUCAAGGAAAGAGUGUUGUAUUGAAUAUAGAUAGGAUACCUAAGAAAACAAUCUUCACUGCUAGAAGAAAUAUUGCAAUUUUAAAUGAUACAGAUGAACUAAUUUUUUAUAAUGUUAUAAAAGAAAACAAAGCUGUUUAUAAAUUAAAACAUGAUUCUACUUAUAAACUUCUUAGUUUAUCAUCAUGUAAACAAAUGAUAGCAGUUACUGAUAUGAACGGAAAUUUAGAUGUUUUUGUAGAAACCUGUAAAGAAGACGCGACAUUAAUUAAUAUUGUAAAUUUAAAACUAGAUCUCUGUAAAGUUCUAUCCUUGCAUUGGGCUGGUAACCGGCAUCUAGUUUUAGGUUGUGAAGAAGGAUUAAUUAAAGUCAUAGCAUAUUCAGCAAAUAAAGUAGAAGAUUUUGCAAAUUUUACUCUGCCAAGUUGUAAGGAAAGAUGGCUGACUGCAGCUAACAUUGAUUCCACAAAUGCUAUCAUUAUAGUUGGAGAUAGAUGUGGCAAUAUCCAUGUUUAUAAAAGAGGAAUCAAAACUCCAUUGAAGAGUUUUAGUAAGGUCCAUGGAAGAUAUGGUCCUACAUCAAUUGUGAUGAAGAAAAAUGGUUUUGUGAGUACCGGACGAGAUGGAACUGUUAAGUUUUUCGAUUUAAAUGUUCAAGAUGUGAGUAACGCUAAAUACAUGAGCAGUAAAGAUAUGGAGUUCCAUUGGGUAGAAAAAUUUAUAGAUAAGAAUGAAAAAAUGAUUUGUGGCUUCCAAGAAAGAAUUUUUGUUGUUUAUGAUUUGAAAAGUGAUAGUAAGUUAGUAGAAGCGGCAUGCGGAGGCGGCCAUAGGUCAUGGGAUGUCGUCAGAUAUAUAGAAAGAGUAAACGAUAAUUAUGAGGAAUGCAUAAAAUUUAUGUAUGUCAAGAAUUCAGAUAUUCAUCUUCAUACAUUUUAUUUGAGCAAAAUUAUUUCAACUAACAUCGUAAAUGGAUCCCAUUACAAAGAAAUAAAUUGUUUGAAAAGUUUAAUAAUAGAUGGUUCCACUUUCUUCAUAUCUGGUGGUGAAGACACUACACUGAGGAUAUCUUUGAAGAUUGGUUUAGAUUUACAAGACAAAAUAAUUUUCAAACAUUUAUCAAAUGUAAGAACAUUAAAAACAAAACAAUUAGAUGAAAACAAAUAUAUCUUAGUAUCCGCUGGCGGCAGGGCCCAAAUUUGUGUGAAAUUAUUAAAUUUCUAUACAGAAAAUGAGGAAUUGGUUGUUAAAUCACAAGAUUUGAUAGACUUCAUGAUAAAAGGUCCGGAAAAGGAGAGAAAAGGGAAGCAGUCAUGGAAAAACUGUACCAUAGACUUCGAUCCAGAGACAAGAAUUAUGGCCAUAGACUUAUUUCAAAUUGAUGAUUACAAUUUCAUUAUUUUUGCUGGUUGUUCUGAUGCAGUUCUUAGAAUUUUCAAACUUAAUAUAAAUGUUGUAGAUUUUAAAUUAAUCACAGAAGUGAAACAUCACAAGACUUGUAUAUUGAAAACCCAUUAUUUAAAAUUUGUUGAUAAAGAUUUAUUAGUAACUGCUUCAACAAGAGGUGAAGUAAUAUUUUGGGAAAUAAAAGAUGAUGAAAUUAAUAUAGAACCAAUUUUCACGACACAUACAAAUAAAUCUGGAAUCAACAGUUUUGACAUAGCAAUUAUAUCAGAUAAACAUGUUUUAUUUGCUAGUGGAGGGGAUGACAAUGUUAUACAUUUAAAUCUUUUAGAAUAUACUGAGGAACAUAAAUUUAAAGUUCUUGAUAAAUGGUCUACUGAUAAGUACCAUUGUUCUCAAGUAACUGGACUCGUAUUAAAAGAAGAUAUAUUAUUAUGUACCUCGAUAGAUCAAAGAGUGACCAUGUGCAAAUGGUCUUUUAGUGAUCACAAAAUAAAAUGCGAUUUUUUAUUGCAAAACUAUAGCGAUGUUUCUGACAUACAAGGGUUAGAUCUGGUUGAUUUUUCUAGCAAUAAAGCCACUAUCUGCGUGUACGGCAAAGGAAUGGAAAUCAUAGAAUUACCAUUCCCCGGCUGAAAAAUGCUUGUGACCAAACUAUUGAGGCCGAUUGCGCACGCGCGUAUAGCUGACGUACAAGUGGUAGAACCGCCUUCAUAAUACCAAUCGAAGGCAGGCCCCACCACUUCGCAGUGGGGGUGGAACGUCAGAUCCUGGAGGUGGAAUGGGACGGUGGGGAUGGGACGGCGGUGAUCGUGAACACUGUUGCGGAGGU